AUUGCGUUAGGGAUUGCAGUGGAAAUCCUUUUUACGUGUAUUUAAACUUGAUUAUUAAAUAUGCUUUUAAGUUUGUUUUUGGUUGAAGCAUUACAAAACUAGUUCGGACUGUUUAGUAAAAAGAUUGUAACGAAAAGCCCGACCCCUU
rnacentral:sRNA from 1 species